UGAAAGGUAAGGACAUUUUAUAGAAAAUACUGAAAGUUCAGAACAUAAAACACUAUUAACCCUUAAAAAAAUCAUCAUUAACCAGUUGCAUCGAUACUUAUAUUACGAAUGGUUACAAUUUUUUUAUAACGACAAUAUUAAAUAAACUUAAAAAAAAAAAACUAGAACCUGACUAUAUUGACGCAUUCCUAUCUAACGUCAUUAUCUUCCCUGCGCAGCAACAAGUCGAAACCGUAGAAUUUGUGUCUACAAAUUGUUGUUCAGGGUGAUCAUUUAGACAUGAACCCAUCAAUCAGACUAUAGACC
rnacentral:lncRNA from 1 species